rnacentral:rRNA from 1 species
GUGGAUUAGAUACCCUGGUAGUCCACGCCGUAAACGAUGCUAACUCGUUUUUGGGUUUUCGGAUUCAGAGACUAAGCGAAAGUGAUAAGUUAGCCACCUGGGGAGUACGUUCGCAAGAAUGAAACUCAAAGGAAUUGACGGGGGCCCGCACAAGCGGUGGAUUAUGUGGUUUAAUUCGAUGAUACGCGAGGAACCUUACCAAGGCUUAAAUGGGAAUUGAUCGGUUUAGAAAUAGACCUUCCUUCGGGCAAUUUUCAAGGUGCUGCACGGCUGUCGUCAACU